ACGCUGGCGGCGUGCUUAACACAUGCAAGUCGAACGAAGCUGUUGUUUGGAGACCUUCGGGUGGAAGAAUAACAGACUGAGUGGCGGACGGGUGAGUAACGCGUGGGUAACCUACCUUGCACAGGGGGACAACAGUUGGAAACGACUGCUAAUACCGCAUAAGACCACAGUACCGCAUGGUACAGGGGUAAAAACUGAGGUGGUGCAAGAUGGACCCGCGUCUGAUUAGCUAGUUGGUGGGGUAAAGGCCUACCAAGGCGACGAUCAGUAGCCGACCUGAGAGGGUGAUCGGCCACAUUGGGACUGAGACACGGCCCAAACUCCUACGGGAGGCAGCAGUGGGGAAAAUUGGACAAUGGGGGGAACCCUGAUCCAGCGACGCCGCGUGAGUGAAGAAGUAUUUCGGUAUGUAAAGCUCUAUCAGCAGGGAAGAAAAUGACGGUACCUGACUAAGAAGCCCCGGCUAACUACGUGCCAGCAGCCGCGGUAAUACUUAGGGGGCAAGCGUUAUCCGGAUUUACUGGGUGUAAAGGGAGCGCAGACGGCUUGGCAAGUCUGAAGUGAAAGCCCGGGGCUUAACCCCGGGACUGCUUUGGAAACUGUGAAGCUAGAGUGUCGGAGAGGUAAGUGGAAUUCCCAGUGUAGCGGUGAAAUGCGUAGAUAUUGGGAGGAACACCGGUGGCGAAGGCGGCUUACUGGACGAUAACUGACGUUGAGGCUCGAAGGCGUGGGGAGCAAACAGGAUUAGGUACCCUGGUAGUCCACGCGGUAAACGAUGAAUACUAGGUGUCGGGGGACAUAGUCUUUCGGUGCCGCCGCUAACGCAUUAAGUAUUCCACCUGGGGAGUACGUUCGCAAGAAUGAAACUCAAAGGAAUUGACGGGGACCCGCACAAGCGGUGGAGC
rnacentral:rRNA from 1 species